rnacentral:rRNA from 1 species
CCUACGGGAGGCAGCAGUGGGGAAUUUUGGACAAUGGGCGCAAGCCUGAUCCAGCCAUGCCGCGUGUCUGAAGAAGGCCUUCGGGUUGUAAAGGACUUUUGUCAGGGAAGAAAAGGGCGGGGUUAAUACCCCUGUCUGAUGACGGUACCUGAAGAAUAAGCACCGGCUAACUACGUGCCAGCAGCCGCGGUAAUACGUAGGGUGCGAGCGUUAAUCGGAAUUACUGGGCGUAAAGCGGGCGCAGACGGUUACUUAAGCAGGAUGUGAAAUCCCCGGGCUCAACCUGGGAACUGCGUUCUGAACUGGGUGACUAGAGUGUGUCAGAGGGAGGUAGAAUUCCACGUGUAGCAGUGAAAUGCGUAGAGAUGUGGAGGAAUACCGAUGGCGAAGGCAGCCUCCUGGGAUAACACUGACGUUCAUGCCCGAAAGCGUGGGUAGCAAACAGGAUUAGAUACCCUGGUAGUCCACGCCCUAAACGAUGUCGAUUAGCUGUUGGGCAGCAUGACUGCUUAGUAGCGAAGCUAACGCGUGAAAUCGACCGCCUGGGGAGUACGGUCGCAAGAUUAAAACUCAAAGGAAUUGACGG